rnacentral:rRNA from 1 species
UGGGGAAUAUUGCACAAUGGGCGCAAGCCUGAUGCAGCCAUGCCGCGUGUAUGAAGAAGGCCUUCGGGUUGUAAAGUACUUUCAGCGGGGAGGAGGGGAGUAAAGUUAAUACCUUUGCUCAUUGACGUUACCCGCAGAAGAAGCACCGGCUAACUCCGUGCCAGCAGCCGCGGUAAUACGGAGGGUGCAAGCGUUAAUCGGAAUUACUGGGCGUAAAGCGCACGCAGGCGGUUUGUUAAGUCAGAUGUGAAAUCCCCGGGCUCAACCUGGGAACUGCAUCUGAUACUGGCAAGCUUGAGUCUCGUAGAGGGGGGUAGAAUUCCAGGUGUAGCGGUGAAAUGCGUAGAGAUCUGGAGGAAUACCGGUGGCGAAGGCGGCCCCCUGGACGAAGACUGACGCUCAGGUGCGAAAGCGUGGGGAGCAAACA